rnacentral:rRNA from 1 species
GACGAACGCUGGCGGCGUGCUUAACACAUGCAAGUCGAACGGAAAGGCCUCAGCUUGCUGGGGUACUCGAGUGGCGAACGGGUGAGUAACACGUGGGUGAUCUGCCUUGCACUCUGGGAUAAGCUUGGGAAACUGGGUCUAAUACCGGAUAUGAACUGCCUUUAGUGUGGUGGUUGGAAAGUUUUUUCGGUGCAAGAUGAGCUCGCGGCCUAUCAGCUUGUUGGUGGGGUAAUGGCCUACCAAGGCGUCGAUGGGUAGCCGGCCUGGGAGGGUGUACGGCCACAAUGGGACUGAGAUACGGCCCAGACUCCUACGGGGGGCAGCAGUGGGGAAUAUUGCACAAUGGGCGGAAGCCUGAUGCAGCGACGCCGCGUGGGGGAUGACGGCCUUCGGGUUGUAAACUCCUUUCGACAGGGACGAAGCUUUUUGUGACGGUACCUGUAUAAGAAGCACCGGCUAACUACGUG